rnacentral:rRNA from 1 species
UACAGAGGGUGCGAGCGUUAAUCGGAAUUAUUGGGCGUAAAGGGCGCGUAGGCGGAUUGAUAAGUGGUAGGUGAAAUACCCGGGCUUAACCUGGGGAGGUCCUAUCAGACUGUCAAUCUAGAGUAUGGUAGAGGAAGGUGGAAUUCCCGGUGUAGCGGUGAAAUGCGUAGAUAUCGGGAAGAACAUCGAUGGCGAAGGCAGCCUUCUGGGCCAUAACUGACGCUGAGGCGCGAAAGCGUGGGGAGCGAAC